AUUGAACGCUGGCGGCAGGCCUAACACAUGCAAGUCGAGCGAGCGGCGGGCGGGUGAGGAAUGUAUGGGGACUGCCCGAUAGAGGGGGAUAACUACUGGAAACGGUAGCUAAUACCGCAUACUAUCGGAUAACCCAUAUGGGAUUAGCUAGUAGGUGAGGUAAUGGCUCACCGAGGCGACGAUCCCUAGCUGGUCUGAGAGGAUGAUCAGCCACACUGGGACUGAGACACGGCCCAGACUCCUACGGAGGCAGCAGUGGGGAAUAUUGCGCAAUGGGCGAAAGUCUGACGCAGCCAUGCCGCGUGUAUGAAGAAGGCCCUAGGGUUGUAAAGUACUGUCAGUCGGGAGGCGUUACCGACAGAAGAAGCACCGGCUAACUCCGUGCCAGCAGCCGCGGUAAUAC
rnacentral:rRNA from 1 species